AUCCAAAAUAAAUCCAAGCUGAGCUCUGCAAUUUUUUCCUUUUAUUCCCCUUUUUCCUCCCUCAAUUUUCCCAGAUUUUUCCCCCAAUUUUCCCAUUUUUUCCCCAAUUUUUUCUCCAUUUUUCCCCAUUUUUCCCCCAAUUUCCCUCCCAUUUUAUUCCAAUUUUUCCCCCAUUUUUUUUCCUAUUUUUCCCCAAUUUUCCCCCAUUUUUUCCCCAAUUUUCCCCAUUUUCCACUCCAAUUUCCCUCCCAUUUUAUUCCAAAUUUUCCCCAUUUCCCCCAAUUUUUUCCCCAUUUUUCCCUCAUUUUUUUCCCAAUUUUCCCCAAUUUUCCCCCAUUUUUUCCCUCAUUUUUUCCCCAAUUUUCUCCAAUUUCCCCCCAUUUUUUCCCUUCUUUUUUCCCCAUUUUUUCCCCCAUUUUCCCCCAAUUUUUCCCCAUUUUCCCCCCUUUUUUUCCCAUUUUCCCCCCCAUUUUUUCCCAUUUUUUCCCCAUUUUUUUUCCCAUUUUUUCCCCAUUUUUUCCCAUUUUUCCCCCAAUUUUCCCCAUUUUUUCCCCCAUUUUUUCCCCAUUUUAUUCCCAUUUUUUCCCCAUUUUUCCCCCAAUUUCCCCCAAUUUCCCUCCCAUUUUUUCCCAUUUUUCCCCCAUUUUCCCCCAUUUUUUCCCAAUUUUCCCUCCCAUUUUAUUCCAAUUUUUUCCCCAUUUUUUCCUCUUUUUCCCCCAAUUUUCCCCCUUUUUUCCCCAAUUUUCCCCAAUUUCCCUCCCAUUUUAUUCCAAUUUUUUCCCAUUUUUUCUCCAUUUUUUCCCCCCAUUUUCCCCCAUUUUAUUCCCAUUUUUUCCCCAUUUUCCCCCCAAUUUCCCUCCCAUUUUAUUUCAAUUUUUUCCCCAUUUUUUCCCCAAUUUCCCUCCCAUUUUAUUCCCAUUUUUCCCCAUUUUAUUCCAAUUUUUUCCCCAUUUUUCCCCCAUUUUUCCCCCAUUUUUCCCCAUUUUUUCCCCAUUUUUCCCCAUUUUCCCCCAUUUUCCCCCAAUUUUCCCUCCCAUUUUAUUCCAAUUUUCCCCCAUUUCCCCCCUUUUUUCCCCAUUUUUCCCCCCAUUUUUUCCUCUUUUUUCCCCAUUUUUUCCCAUUUCAUUCCCCAUUUUCCCCCCAUUUUUUCCCCAUUUUUCCCCCAUUUUCCCCCAUUUUUCCCCCCAUUUUUUCCUCAUUUUUUCCCCCAUUUUUCCCCAUUUUCCCAUUUUUCCCCUUUUUUCCCCAUUUUCCCCAUUUUUCCCCAUUUUCCCCAUUUUUCCCCAUUUUUCCCCUCAUUUUUUCCCAUUUUUCCCCAUUUUUUCCCCAUUUUUCCCCCAAUUUUCCCCCAAUUUUCCCCCAGUUUUUCCCCAUUUUUCUCCCAUUUUUUCCCCAAUUUUUUCUCAUUUUUUCUCCCAUUUUCCCCCAAUUUUUUCCCAUUUUUCCCUCAUUUUUUCCCCAAUUUUUUCCCAUUUUUUCCCCAAUUUUCCCCAAUUUCCCUCCCAUUUUUCCCCAUUUUUCCCCAUUUUUUCCCCAUUUUUUCCCCAUUUUUCCCCAUUUUUUCCCCAUUUUUCCCCA
rnacentral:lncRNA from 1 species